rnacentral:lncRNA from 1 species
UUCUUAUCUAGUGAUCAGAAUUCCAAGCUAUGUAUCCCUAGAGGGAGAGACAACGGGCAAGCCAUAUCCCCUUUUAUAAUCUGGCCUUGGUUUUCUCUUCUGCUGCUGCCUGCUUGUUAGAAGCAAGUUCCUGGAACUUUCCCUUAUUUGCAGGUGGGAGACUCAGAUUCUGCCUUUUGCUGGGAGCACGUCAAAGAUUGCUGCACAUUUUACACCCCAUAGAAGCCUGUGACAGUCUGGGGACCUUUUAAUUAAUUAUGUCCUGUGUCAAUGGAAAUUCUUUUGAUGCCUGCCAUGGCUGGCGAUGCAUGUGGAUGUGUAGAGGGAUGGUGUGACAUGCACACAAGUGGCUACAUUUUCUAGGACUAACCAGUAUGCCUAUCUGGUCAUCAGGGAAACCUCCAUAUUUUUUUUUUCUGUGACUCAGGAUGACAUACAUCAGCAGAAUUCUCAGACUCAAGUUCCUUGCAGUGGAUCAUUUGCUCCUGCAUCCAUAAGAGGACGGUAGUAUCAGGAGCCCUUGCCUGGAGAGAGGGUCCCGAGAAAGAAGUUCUCAAAGAACCAGGAUGUCUUCAGCUGAUGUACUUUUGGCCUUGACUGUCACAGUAUCACAGGACCAUUGAGGCCUCAACUUGUGACUGGAG